rnacentral:rRNA from 1 species
ACGAACGCUGGCGGCACGCUUAACACAUGCAAGUCGAACGAGAGAAGAGGAGCUUGCUUUUCUGAUCUAGUGGCGGACGGGUGAGUAACACGUGAGCAAUCUGCCUUUCAGAGGGGGAUACCGAUUGGAAACGAUCGUUAAUACCGCAUAACAUAAUUGAACCGCAUGAUUUGAUUAUCAAAGAUUUAUCGCUGAAAGAUGAGCUCGCGUCUGAUUAGCUAGUUGGUAAGGUAACGGCUUACCAAGGCGACGAUCAGUAGCCGGACUGAGAGGUUGAUCGGCCACAUUGGGACUGGGACACGGCCCAGACUCCUACGGGAGGCAGCAGUGGGGAAUAUUGCACAAUGGAGGAAACUCUGAUGCAGCGAUGCCGCGUGAGGGAAGAAGGUUUUAGGAUUGUAAACCUCUGUCUUCAGGGACGAAAAAAGACGGUACCUGAGGAGGAAGCUCCGGCUAACUACGUGCCAGCAGCCGCGGUAAUACGUAGGGAGCGAGCGUUGUCCGGAAUUACUGGGUGUAAAGGGAGCGUAGGCGGGAUCGCAAGUCAGAUGUGAAAACUAUGGGCUUAACCCAUAAACUGCAUUUGAAACUGUGGUUCUUGAGUGAAGUAGAGGUAAGCGGAAUUCCUAGUGUAGCGGUGAAAUGCGUAGAUAUUAGGAGGAACAUCAGUGGCGAAGGCGGCUUACUGGGCUUUAACUGACGCUGAGGCUCGAAAGCGUGGGGAGCAAACAGGAUUAGAUACCCUGGUAGUCCACGCCGUAAACGAUGAUUACUAGGUGUGGGGGGACUGACCCCUUCCGUGCCGCAGCAAACGCAAUAAGUAAUCCACCUGGGGAGUACGACCGCAAGGUUGAAACUCAAAGGAAUUGACGGGGGCCCGCACAAGCAGUGGAGUAUGUGGAUUAAUUCGAAGCAACGCGAAGAACCUUACCAGGUCUUGACAUCGUAUGCAUAGCUCAGAGAUGAGUGAAAUCUCUUCGGAGACAUAUAGACAGGUGGUGCAUGGUUGUCGUCAGCUCGUGUCGUGAGAUGUUGGGUUAAGUCCCGCAACGAGCGCAACCCUUACUGUUAGUUGCUACGCAAGAGCACUCUAGCAGGACUGCCGUUGACAAAACGGAGGAAGGUGGGGAUGACGUCAAAUCAUCAUGCCCCUUAUGACCUGGGCCUCACACGUACUACAAUGGCUGUCAACAGAGGGAAGCAAAGCCGCGAGGUGGAGCAAACCCCUAAAAGCAGUCUUAGUUCGGAUUGUAGGCUGCAACCCGCCUACAUGAAGUCGGAAUUGCUAGUAAUCGCAGAUCAGCAUGCUGCGGUGAAUACGUUCCCGGGCCUUGUACACACCGCCCGUCACGCCAUGGGAGUCGGUAACACCCGAAGCCUGUAGUCUAACCGCAAGGAGGACGCAGUCGAAGGUGGGAUUGAUGACUGGGGUG